UACGUAGGUGGCAAGCGUUGUCCGGAAUUAUUGGGCGUAAAGCGCGCGCAGGCGGUCCUUUAAGUCUGAUGUGAAAGCCCACGGCUCAACCGUGGAGGGUCAUUGGAAACUGGGGGACUUGAGUGCAGGAGAGAAGAGUGGAAUUCCAGGUGUAGCGGUGAAAUGCGUAGAUAUCAGGAGGAACACCGGUGGUGUAGACGGCUUUCUGGACCGUAACUGACGCUGAGACACGAAAGCGUGGGUAGCAAACAGG
rnacentral:rRNA from 1 species